rnacentral:rRNA from 1 species
GACGAACGCUGGCGGCGUGCUUAACACAUGCAAGUCGAACGGAAAGGCCUCUUUCGGGGGUUACUCGAUUGGCGAACGGGUGAUUAACACGUGAUUAACCUGCCCUUGACUUUGGGUUAACUUCAGGAAACUGGGGCUAAUACCGGAUAGGAGCUCCUGCUGCAUGGUGGGGGUUGGAAAGUUUCGGCGGUUGGGGAUGGACUCGCGGCUUAUCAGCUUGUUGGUGGGGUAGUGGCUUACCAAGGCUUUGACGGGUAGCCGGCCUGAGAGGGUGACCGGCCACAUUGGGACUGAGAUACGGCCCAGACUCCUACGGGAGGCAGCAGUGGGGAAUAUUGCACAAUGGGUGGAAGCCUGAUGCAGCAACGCCGUGUGCGGGAUGACGGCCUUCGGGUUGUAAACCGCUUUCGCUCAUGACGAAGCUUUGUGUGACGGUAGUGGGUAAAGAAGCACCGGCUAACUACGUG